rnacentral:rRNA from 1 species
AAUCCAUAGGUUAAUGAGGCGAACCGGGGGAACUGAAACAUCUAAGUACCCCGAGGAAAAGAAAUCAACCGAGAUUCCCCCAGUAGCGGCGAGCGAACGGGGAGGAGCCCAGAGCCUGAAUCAGCAUGUGUGUUAGUGGAAGCGUCUGGAAAGGCGCGCGAUACAGGGUGACAGCCCCGUACACAAAAGCGCAUGUGCUGUGAGCUCGAUGAGUAGGGCGGGACACGUGGUAUCCUGUCUGAAUAUGGGGGGACCAUCCUCCAAGGCUAAAUACUCCUGACUGACCGAUAGUGAACCAGUACCGUGAGGGAAAGGCGAAAAGAACCCCGGCGAGGGGAGUGAAAAAGAACCUGAAACCGUGUACGUACAAGCAGUGGGAGCACAGGUUUACCUGUGUGACUGCGUACCUUUUGUAUAAUGGGUCAGCGACUUAUAUUCUGUAGCAAGGUUAACCGAAUAGGGGAGCCGGAGGGAAACCGAGUCUUAAUUGGGCGUUAAGUUGCAGGGUAUAGACCCGAAACCCGGUGAUCUAGCCAUGGGCAGGUUGAAGGUUGGGUAACACUAACUGGAGGACCGAACCGACUAAUGUUGAAAAAUUAGCGGAUGACCUGUGGCUGGGGGUGAAAGGCCAAUCAAACCGGGAGAUAGCUGGUUCUCCCCGAAAGCUAUUUAGGUAGCGCCUCGUGAAUUCAUCUCCGGGGGUAGAGCACUGUUUCGGCUAGGGGGCCAUCCCGGCUUACCAACCCGAUGCAAACUGCGAAUACCGGAGAAUGUUAUCACGGGAGACACACGGCGGGUGCUAACGUCCGUCGUGAAGAGGGAAACAACCCAGACCGCCAGCUAAGGUCCCAAAGUCAUGGUUAAGUGGGAAACGAUGUGGGAAGGCCCAGACAGCCAGGAUGUUGGCUUAGAAGCAGCCAUCAUUUAAAGAAAGCGUAAUAGCUCACUGGUCGAGUCGGCCUGCGCGGAAGAUGUAACGGGGCUAAACCAUGCACCGAAGCUGCGGCAGCGAACGUAUCACUUAAAGCGAUUCAGCGGGUUACGAUUGACGGAGCGAAGCGACGUCAAAGCGUAUACAAAGUCGAGUCGGUUUAAGGAUACGUUCGUUGGGUAGGGGAGCGUUCUGUAAGCCUGUGAAGGUGUGUCGUGAGGCAUGCUGGAGGUAUCAGAAGUGCGAAUGCUGACAUAAGUAACGAUAAAGCGGGUGAAAAGCCCGCUCGCCGGAAGACCAAGGGUUCCUGUCCAACGUUAAUCGGGGCAGGGUGAGUCGACCCCUAAGGCGAGGCCGAAAGGCGUAGUCGAUGGGAAACGGGUUAAUAUUCCCGUACUUGGUGUUACUGCGAAGGGGGGACGGAGAAGGCUAUGUUGGCCGGGCGACGGUUGUCCCGGUUUAAG